AUCAAGCACAUUUCUAUCCCCCUUGCUUAUAUUUUGCAGGAAAAGGAAGAUACAAAUCUGGAUUCUUUGAAUAAAUUUACAUUUUUUUCAAUAACUAAAUGAAAUGAUGCAAAUUUAAACCAUCUGUCCUCACUGUCUGUAAGGAUAGGAACAGUCUGAAACUCACCUCCAAGACAAUUUAAAAACUGUCUUGUGCAACAUUAAACCUCCUAGAUUUGUCAAUGGAGGAAACUUUUCUGCUAGUAUAUAGAAAUCUGCAGUGCUCGUAAUAUCAACAUAAAAACAUUUAAAGAUAGAGUGAUUGGAUCCAUGUUUUCUACUAAAGCAAGAGCAUUAAUCACAAAAUAGUCUAAAGACACUGUUCAUAUGCUUUGUGAGAGAGAACAAGAAAGUUACAAUCAGCUUUACCACCAACUUUCAAAUAGUUCUAUUUUUACCUUCCUUGCUAUGCUUUACAUAUUUACUCUCUGUAUUACA